UCAGGAAAGAUUUUUACAAACUGCCUAAAGAACUACCCUAUCUCAAACCCCUAAAUCCUGUUGACUUCUGAUCCAUAGCUGCUAUGGUCUAAUGUCUGGGUCACCUCAAAAUUCAUAUGUUGAACACCUAAUGCCCAAUGUAAUUAUGUUGGAAGUUAUUAGUGUCCUUAAAAAGCUAUGCCAGAGAGCUCCCUAGGCCCUUCUACCAUGUGAGGAUACAGACAGCAGACCCUGGCCAGACACUCCAUCUACUGGCACCUUGAUCUGGGACUUCCUAGCUUCAAAAACUACAAAAAAAAUAAAUUUCUGUUGUUUCUAAGCCACCAAGUGUCAGGUGUUUUGUUAGAGCUUAAACAUACUAAGACAAUAGCUUCAGUCAGCAAAGGUGGUCAUCAUGAUUUGGUUGUUCCUGGUCUAAAAUAAAGAUGAAUCUGGGCCUGAGUUGAUGAACACUAAAAACGAAUGUUUAUUGUCCUGCUCAGUGGUGCUCUGCUUGGCAACUUAAGUACAUUAUUACAUCUAAUGUUAAAUGGUAGCUAACAUUCAACAUAUGCUUGAAGAACUCUCUAAUGGUCAAUGUGAAUUUUAAACUAUACAGGAUUAAAUUAUUGGAAACACUUCUUUCAUUCCCCUUCCUCCUAUCCCACAAAUACAAACUGCUUAGUUACCAGACCAACUUGCAAAAAACAAAUCAGAUUUCAAGCAGGUAUUUUAGAAUAACCUGAACAUUAGGUAACUUUUUUUGAGUGACAGGUAGAUAUAUGCUAAAUGCUAUAGAUAGAAAACAGCCAAACACUCUGCAGGGAACCUUCCUGAUCCAAGAGUUUGCAUAUAUUCUGCCUUUUUUUUUUUUUCAAAUUCACAUAUUUUUUUAAAUAAGUGGUUUUUUAAAUGCUGCCAAUAUACCUGAAGAUGCCAGUCCAAUUUAGACAGAGAUGUAAAAGAUUGCCUCAAUUUGAGAAAGGCAACUGUCAAAAAUAAGAAGGUAUCCAGAAAAGUGUGAGAGGUUCUGGUCAGGUUUACUGUAAAUCUCAAUUGCUUCCAGUGCCAGACUUAGAUGCCUAUUAACUAAACUACAACUCAGGUCUUCAAAUUAUAAGGGACUUCCAAAACUGCAAAAGUUUUCCAAUAAAAGGAAACUUCUGAUGUUUAUGUGAGUUUACAUCAAUUUCUUCUAACCUUGUGAUAAGCUUUUGUGAGGCUCAGCUGUAGGCAGUGUGCUAUUAUAUUACAUCUUUUUCAGUUUUCAUGAAUUCCUCAAAGUUUAUUUGAAAAGACACGUGGUCUUCUUCCUCACAGUGCUUUAGCAUCAGCUCAAAGGCAGUUCUGCUUUUACCCUGAAACAAGUUAAACAUAUAUUUCUUUCAAAUACAAGUUUUCCUCCAUUGAGAAUUCAAAAGUAUUCUUGAUGUAUAGAGAAAGAAACAUCCUUGGACUUCAUCAAUAUGUGUGAAACGUGGCCAUUUUAAAGCUGUCAAUUUGCUUUCUUCUGGUAUAUUUGGAGAAAAGAUGCCUGGUUGGGAAAGUCAAGUGAAGUUACUAGAUUAGGUUCCAACAGAUUAAAGGAGAAUGUCAAUGAUCUCAAAGCCUGGAAUAUUAUUUCAAGCCAUUUUACCAGUUAAUUCCUAUGAUUCCUUUUGUUUUCAACAAUUUUUCUCCCACUGCACAACUUUCCAAAACUAAAUCCUGUGCUCUCAAUAGCAGACAGUGGUAAGGGAA
rnacentral:lncRNA from 1 species